AAAAGUUCUGAUUUUUAAAGGAAAAGCAGAGAUAGGGACAAAGAGGCACAGAGGAAAAAAUUCAAAGAGCGCUCGAAGAGAGAGAGAAAGAACCAGAAACAAAAGGAAAACAUAAAGGAAAAUAAAGGAGAAGACAUUUAAAGGACAGAGAAUGAGGGCUAGUCAUUUUAUCAGCUAUAGGAGGGGAUGCAACUUGCUUGAAGCUUGGUCAACAAGGUUUGGAGGAGUUGUUAUAGGGUCACAAGAAGGUUUUGUUGAAACUGUAGCAGAUAUGAGUCGAACACAACUUGGAGAACAUCAAGGUAUUAAUAGAAUUUUGGACACCUUGUGAUGAAUUA